UACGUAGGGACCGAGCGUUGUCCGGAUUCAUUGGGCGUAAAGAGCUCGUAGGCGGCUGUCCAAGUCGAACGUGAAAUCUCGGAGCUUAACUCCGAAACUGCAUUCGAUACUGCCGUGCUUGAGGACUGGAGAGGAGACUGGAAUUUACGGUGUAGCGGUGAAAUGCGUAGAUAUCGUAAGGAAGACCAGUGGCGAAGGCGGGUCUCUGGACAGUUCCUGACGCUGAGGCACGAAGGUCAGGGGAGCAAACGGG
rnacentral:rRNA from 1 species